GUCACCGUCAGCAAGGGAUGUGCAUCAACUUGUACUGUAACAACAGCUUUCCCGCGAGAUGAGUGCUGUCAGGGAGAACUCUGUAACGAUAAAUUGAUUUGCUUCCAAUGUGCUGAAACAACCGAUGAAAGCUCCUGUACUUCGAGUCCAUGUGCAGCUGAAGCAUUCUGCAAGAGUGACUACAAACUCAACGGGGCAGGAGUGCCUGCUGUCAUUAAGUCCUGUGCAGCUGAUUGCAAAGCUGUUGACAAUACAGCAGACAAAAACGUGAGGACAACUUGCUGCAAAACAGGAUAUUGUAA